AGCCCCGUACACAAAAAUGCACAUAUUGUGAGCUCGAUGAGUAGGGCGGGACACGUGGUAUCCUGUCUGAAUAUGGGGGGACCAUCCUCCAAGGCUAAAUACUCCUGACUGACCGAUAGUGAACCAGUACCGUGAGGGAAAGGCGAAAAGAACCCCGGCGAGGGGAGUGAAAAAGAACCUGAAACCGUGUACGUACAAGCAGUGGGAGCCUCUUAAUGGGGUGACUGCGUACCUUUUGUAUAAUGGGUCAGCGACUUAUAUUCUGUAGCAAGGUUAACCGAAUAGGGGAGCCGAAGGGAAACCGAGUCUUAACUGGGCGUUAAGUUGCAGGGUAUAGACCCGAAACCCGGUGAUCUAGCCAUGGGCAGGUUGAAGGUUGGGUAACACUAACUGGAGGACCGAACCGACUAAUGUUGAAAAAUUAGCGGAUGACUUGUGGCUGGGGGUGAAAGGCCAAUCAAACCGGGAGAUAGCUGGUUCUCCCCGAAAGCUAUUUAGGUAGCGCCUCGUGAAUUCAUCUCCGGGGGUAGAGCACUGUUUCGGCAAGGGGGUCAUCCCGACUUACCAACCCGAUGCAAACUGCGAAUACCGGAGAAUGUUAUCACGGGAGACACACGGCGGGUGCUAACGUCCGUCGUGAAGAGGGAAACAACCCAGACCGCCAGCUAAGGUCCCAAAGUCAUGGUUAAGUGGGAAACGAUGUGGGAAGGCCCAGACAGCCAGGAUGUUGGCUUAGAAGCAGCCAUCAUUUAAAGAAAGCGUAAUAGCUCACUGGUCGAGUCGGCCUGCGCGGAAGAUGUAACGGGGCUAAACCAUG
rnacentral:rRNA from 1 species